CUGCCCCAAGGAGGAGGCACCCGACACACGCCAUGGUGCAGGGUGUACCAGAUCUGAGUGCAUCAGACAGUUGGGGAAGACUUGCUAGAGGAAGAGGUCCUGUGCGGAAUACGGAGACUGGAGCGUUGCGGGAGAAGGCAGGGGUGUGAUUUGAGUCUGUGAAGGGGACAUGAGCUGGAAAACAUCUGGGAAAACUGGAAUGUCUAUGAGAAAGGCAUGCCACCCCACACAGCUGCAGUGGAUACUGAGUGAGGAUCAGCUUCUCAUGGGCAAAGCUCCCUGUAUGGGAAGGAUAUCCCUGGAUGGGUAAUUCGCAAUAAAAUUUAUUUCUCAUCCAAGACCAAGAACCUUCAGUCAUCAGGGACUUCAUGGCAAAAGGCAGAAGGACAAGGGAACAUGUUUUAGUGAAAGAGAAAGCUGAACUCAAAUGGAAAACCCGCUCUCAAGAUAACCAGCCUACUCCCAUGAAUGUGGCGUUCAUCCAUUCCCAAAGGUCCCAAAAGUCCCAUCUUAGUAUUGUUAUAUAGGGUAGACCUUUCCAACAUACAAACUUUGGGGACACAGUCAGAUCAUAGCAUAUCCCCAACCCCAUCCUUAUCUGACUUCUUAUCUCUGGACAGUUAUAUUAGAAAUAAAUUGCCUUGU